GGGGAACCCUGAUCCAGCCAUGCCGCGUGUGUGAAGAAGGCCUUUUGGUUGUAAAGCACUUUAAGCGAGGAGGAGGCUACUCUAGUUAAUACCUAGGGAUAGUGGACGUUACUCGCAGAAUAAGCACCGGCUAACUCUGUGCCAGCAGCCGCGGUAAUACAGAGGGUGCGAGCGUUAAUCGGAUUUACUGGGCGUAAAGCGUGCGUAGGCGGCUUUUUAAGUCGGAUGUGAAAUCCCUGAGCUUAACUUAGGAAUUGCAUUCGAUACUGGGAAGCUAGAGUAUGGGAGAGGAUGGUAGAAUUCCAGGUGUAGCGGUGAAAUGCGUAGAGAUCUGGAGGAAUACCGAUGGCGAAGGCAGCCAUCUGGCCUAAUACUGACGCUGAGGUACGAAAGCAUGGGGAGCAAACAGGAUUAGAUACCCUGGUAGUCCAUGCCGUAAACGAUGUCUACUAGCCGUUGGGGCCUUUGAGGCUUUAGUGGCGCAGCUAACGCGAUAAGUAGACCGCCUGGGGAGUAC
rnacentral:rRNA from 1 species